GGAAGUAAAAGUCGUAACAAGGUUUCCGUAGGUGAACCUGCGGAAGGAUCAUUAUCGAGCGUUAGGGUCUCUCAGGCCCGACCUCCAACCCCAUGUGUACCCGUCCACGUUGCUUCGGCGGCCGUUCGCGCCCCCCCUCCCCGGGGAGGCUCGCCGCCGCCGGAGGCACCAUCAAACCAUUGUAUGUCUCGUGCAGUCUGAGCAUCAAAAGAAUUUAAACAAAACUUUCAACAACGGAUCUCUUGGUUCUGGCAUCGAUGAAGAACGCAGCAAAAUGCGAUAAGUAAUGUGAAUUGCAGAAUUCAGUGAAUCAUCGAAUCUUUGAACGCACAUUGCGCCCCCUGGCAUUCCGGGGGGCAUGCCUGUUCGAGCGUCAUUAUCACCACUCAAGCCCGGCUUGCUGUUGGGUGCCGUCCCCCCCGGGCUCCCGGGGAGGACCCGCCCGGAAACCAGUGACGGCCCCGCCCGACCUCAAGCGUAGUAAGAUUUCCAUCAUCGCCGCUUUGGAGGGACGCGACGGCGCGCCGGUCAGCCCAAACACCGAAUUUCUUUCAGGUUGACCUCGGAUCAGGUAGGGAUACCCGCUGAACUUAAGCAUAUCAAUAAGCGGAGGAA
rnacentral:rRNA from 1 species